rnacentral:rRNA from 1 species
UACAGAGGUCUCAACCGUUGUUCGGAUUCAUUGGGCGUAAAGGGUGCGUAGGCGGUCGGGUAAGUCGGAUGUGAAAUCUCAGGGCUCAACCCUGAAACUGCAUUCGAUACUGCCUGGCUAGGGUACUGGAGAGGAGACUGGAAUUUACGGUGUAGCAGUGAAAUGCGUAGAUAUCGUAAGGAAGACCAGUGGCGAAGGCGAGUCUCUGGACAGUUACCGACGCUGAGGCACGAAGGUCAGGGGAGCGAACGGG